AUCCCCCACCCCAUCCUCUCUCCCUAACCCUACCAGUUUACCACCCUUCCUCCCCGGCGGCGCAGGGAAGCACAAGCCCGGCGGCGAAGAGCGCGCUCAGACGAGUUCGCCAUCGGCGAUGGCCUCGUCGUCAUCACCACCGACAGCUUCAUGGAGUAGAAGGUGCCGACCGGCGACCGCCCAGGUCAAGCGCAUCGCCGAGGACCCCGAUGACCAGCCGGAAGAGUCUCUUCUCGUGAUUAUUGGGGAGGAUUAACAGUGCCGUGUAGGGCCCGUCGAACAGGACCAUCAUCAGUUCAUCACCGAGACUGGACAAUGCCUGAAGGAGUCAGACAAGGAACAAGGACAUCAGAAAACAAUUACUUCACUUUCCAAAUCUUCAGAUUGAUCGCCUUUCCAAACAGGCUCCUUGGAUAAGUCUGCUAAGGUGGUUAUUGGAGGUGGUCAAGAUGCUAUGAAUGUGACUAUGACAAACUGUCUUGCAGGAAAAUUUGAACCGAAGUUCUUUCACAAGAUUUUGCAAGAGGAAAUUGGUGUUAAAGGCCAUUUUGGACCAAUUAACGUGCUGGCAUUUAAUCCUGAUGGAUGGAGGUAAUAUUCUUAAUACAUCUGUCUGCAUUAUUGUAAGAAUGCUAUAUUUAAGUUUUACCUAUGUACUUAUGUUCUGGAUUAGCUUUUGUUCCAUAUUACUUCUGUGUGUUUUCUGCUCAAGGAUUAUAAGCCAUGUUAUGCCAUCACAAUAUACGCUAUUCUGAAUCAUAUUAAGAUGUCAUAAACAUUAUGAGAGCAGGUGUCUAUUUUCUAUGUUACUCAGUGUAUAGAUUUAUAGUACAUUGUUGUGGUUCUACUGGCUAUGUUCCCAUGGGCAUUUAUCUCCUUUUUUUACUUAAGCUUUGACUUUUGCAUUGUCGUACAACCGUCAUUCACCUGUCAUUUUAACCCCACCACCCCUCUAGUUUUGUCCCUUAAAUUGAUUCAUUGGUCUCACUUGUUCUCUAUUGAAUUCUUAUGCUGUUUGUUUAUUUUCGUUUUGUUGAAGUUCUUUUCUUGUGUCAUACAUAGCUCAGUGAUUGUAGUCACUUUUGUUGGUAAUAUACGCUAUGCUGACCAUAGUUUGAUGAUGAAUGAGAAUAUGAGAGCUAUGCUGUCCAAGAUUAAAUUUGAUCUGUUAGUGCGCAAUUUAGUUGCAUUCUUAGUGUGGCUGUUUGAAGCGUAGUAUAUGUCUAAUGAUUUCGAAGCUCAGUGAUUUCAACCAGUCACAUUGGUUUUAUACGCUAUUCUGAUUGGAGCUGUUGAAAAAUAAUACUUAUGAGAGCUGCCUUUUCUGUCAACAUCCACAAGGCAUACUAGGAAGAAACAUAGUUAUCUGUUACCCCCAUAUUAUAUAAUUAUUAUGUUGAUGCAAGGUGUUUCUUGUAUUGAUUCAAUGCAUGUGCAGAUGGUAGUGGCUUCAUGAUUAUUUCCAAUGCAUUUUCCAUUGGGAGCCACUAUUGCUUUGUUUGAAAAUUGUAUUACCUCCGUUUUUUAAUAGAUGACGCCGUUGACUUUUUAUCACGCGUUUGACCAUUUGUCUUAUUCAAAAAAUUUACGUAAUUAUAAUUUAUUAUGUUGCGAGUUGUUUUAUCACUCAAAAUACUUUAAGCAUGAUUUAUAUCUUAUACAUUUGCAUAAAUUUUUUUGAAUAAGACGAAUGGUCAAACAUAUGUUUAAAAGUCAACGGCGUUAUCUAUUAAAAAACGGAGGGAGUAUAAUGCUAUGUAAAUAGCUUUUCGAGUGGUGGUGAAGUAUGUGAGACUGCAUCAUUUUGAUUCCGACUAAUUCAACAUCAAGAUUUAACCUAAAGUUUAACGGUUUUCUCCGAGGUAAGAUGCCCAUUGGCAGUAAAGCUACACAGCAUGUUACUGAAUUAAAUAUAAAUAUUAUUUUUACAGCUUGACUCUUAUUCAAGUUCCUCGAGUAGUGAAGUGUUCAUUUGCAAUUAUCUGUGAUAGAUUAUAGGAGUAUAACACUUAUGUUGGUUAAUCUUGGAACUGUGUUGCUGUAUGAUUUUGCCUUUAGCCUAAACGGUUGUUCUGCAACUUGUCUACAUGCUGCGUUUGAGAAACAGGCCGAAGGUACUUUUUGUGGUUGAGGUGGACCAGUUUGAGAAACAGACGAAAGGCACUUCUCUCCAUCACGUGGUGAAACUGUUGUUUAGCUACUGAUGGAGUGAUGGUGUACUGCUUUUCAUACAUUCUUGUUGCACUGGACGUCCAGCUUUAAAGAUACUCGAGACUUUUUGUACAUUCAGCAAUCGAAAGCGCCUUGUACCGCAUGCUAGCAUAAUUUUGUUUUUCCAUUCUUGGUUCACUUAACCAUAUAUCAAGUUUUCGGCAGAUCCUUCGUCUA